AGCAUCACACAAUGAUACCAUCAACCAAGGUUCAAGAAAGCACUAAGCGCUGAGUGAGCGGUAUGGUGGUGAAAAAGCUUAAGCGUGAUUAAUCGUGCUUAAGCGUGCUUAAGCGUUUUUGUUAAAAAGAGAAAAAAAGACAUGAUAUUGGGCCACCCUACAGCAGCCCUUAACCCCCCCUCCUCUCUUCAUGAGUCUGCAGCCCACUAGGCCCACCUGCCAGGAGGCUCAACGCAAAACCCCUCUCCCGUGAUGACGUAGUACUCUGCUGCCUCCUUCCACGCCCCACGCCGCCGCCCUGUGCUCUCCACCUCCCUCUCCCGAAGCCUAUCCUUCCCCGUGCCGUACGCUCUCCGGUUCCCUCUCCCAAAGCCUUUCCUCCCUCGUGCGAUCUUCACCUCUACCGCGAAGCCGCUCCGCCUCUCUCUCACCAAUCUGCUGCCUGCAGCCAUCGCAGCCUAACACAUAUGGAAAUUCCACAGAGUAGAGGUGAAAGAGUCAAGAGGUUUAUAGAGUAUAAAUUAAGUUGUUAUACGUUAAUUAUUGGCAGUUUUCACUGGGUGCCAAGUACAUGAUCCUCAAAUUGCUCAUGUAAUCAUGCCACCUUUUGACACAUAGCAAAAUAAUGUUUUCUUCUGU